CCCCGCCAGCACCAGACCAAUCUCACUCCUCGUUUAGUCUGCACAUUUAGAAAUACAUGCAGGGCGUGAGUACAUAAUACUCAGUGGGCAAACGCCGAAAAACAAGAAAGGCGCUCUUAGAGCUAUAAGUUUGAAGCUUGCCACAUCUCAGCAAUACACAGAAAUAAGUUAGUAUUAAAUGAAUCUGUGCAUGCAGUUUUAAUAAUCAACAUCAUAAAUAAACGAUAGCGCUAUCAAAGUACUCAUCAUGCAUGUACCACAUCUACAACUCAUCAUCAUCAAAGGUACUGAGAAGUAGGCCUCCCUCUCAAGUACCGUGACCGGCCGACCCGAAGACGGCUCGCAGUCACCUCUGUGCACAAAAUCCCGCUUGUGGCAGGACCCAAUUCGUCUCAUCUCAUCAGUAGAGGGUAACAUACAAGCUCAACCUCAAAAAUUGGCAAGUCAAACAGUUCUCAAAUAUCAUUUAUCUCGAAACAUUUGUUAAACUCAUAACAUCAUUAAACAAUUUUAGAAAGCUCAUACGAUAUACGUAUACUCAAAAUAUUGCCCAC
rnacentral:lncRNA from 1 species